rnacentral:rRNA from 1 species
UACGUAGGGGCCUAGCGUUGUCCGGAUUUAUUGGGCGUAAAGAGCUCGUAGGCGGCACGGUUAGUCAGGUGUGAAAUCUCCACGCUCAACGUGGAGGGGUCACCUGAUACUGCCGAGCUUGAGUCCGGUAGGGGAGUGUGGAAUUCCCGGUGUAGCGGUGAAAUGCGCAGAUAUCGGGAGGAACACGUAGCGAAGGCGGGUUGCUGGGCCGACACUGACGCUGAGGCGCGAAAGCUAGGGGAGCGAACGGG